rnacentral:rRNA from 1 species
UACGAAGGGGGCUAGCGUUGCUCGGAAUCACUGGGCGUAAAGCGCACGUAGGCGGAUUGUUAAGUCAGGGGUGAAAUCCUGGAGCUCAACUCCAGAACUGCCUUUGAUACUGGCGAUCUUGAGUCCGGGAGAGGUGAGUGGAACUGCGAGUGUAGAGGUGAAAUUCGUAGAUAUUCGCAAGAACACCAGUGGCGAAGGCGGCUCACUGGCCCGGUACUGACGCUGAGGUGCGAAACGUGGGGGACAAACAGGG